rnacentral:tRNA from 1 species
GCUGAGAUAGCUCAGUUGGCAGAGCAUUCCCAUGGUAAGGGAAAGGUCCCGAGUUCGACCCUCGGUCUCAGCUCCA